AAAAGAGCUAAAGGUGUAGGGGAAGUGAGAUGGGUAGGGGAAAGGAAAUAAGGGAAAAGAAAAAUAUGAGAAAAGGAAAAAAUAGGGUAGGAGGAGUGGGUGAAGAGAGGGCAGGGGGAUGGAGAAAAAAUGAGAACCAAGACCUGUCAUGUAAAGGUGCAAGAUCCCAGUGAUGAAUGGAACUGUACUGUAUACUUAAAAAGUACCGACAAACUUAAUGAAUAAAAAAGAAAUAUCUACUGAAUAAAUAAAUGCAUGUUACAUUCCUUGCUGUAUCUCCAUAUCCCAGCUCAGCAUUUGGCUCAAUACACCCUUGAAGAACUGAUGAAUAAGGCUGACCCGCAGACAAAGGGAUGGCCCAGCCAUGAGCGUGAUCUUUCCUACUGUGAUCAUGACAUGCAAAGAACUCAAUGUUUUGGUUGGCAGAGGAGUCCAGCCUUAUCCUAACUAAUAGAGUUACCAGAUAUCCAGCUUCCACUGCAAAAUUGGAUAACCUCGCAUCUGCUAUGCUCCAGGGUGACACUCAACAGGUGCCAAGCUCCAGUUUGCC
rnacentral:lncRNA from 1 species